rnacentral:rRNA from 1 species
GACGGACGCUGGCGGCGUGCCUAAUACAUGCAAGUCGAGCGAAGUUUUUCUGGUGCUUGCACCGGAAAAACUUAGCGGCGAACGGGUGAGUAACACGUAAAGAACCUGCCUCAUAGACUGGGACAACUAUUGGAAACGAUAGCUAAUACCGGAUAACAGCAUUAACUGCAUGGUUGAUGUUUAAAAGUUGGUUUUGCUAACACUAUGAGAUGGCUUUGCGGUGCAUUAGCUAGUUGGUGGGGUAAAGGCCUACCAAGGCGACGAUGCAUAGCCGACCUGAGAGGGUGAUCGGCCACACUGGGACUGAGACACGGCCCAGACUCCUACGGGAGGCAGCAGUAGGGAAUCUUCCGCAAUGGGCGAAAGCCUGACGGAGCAACGCCGCGUGAGUGAAGAAGGAUUUCGGUUCGUAAAGCUCUGUUGUUAGGGAAGAAUGAUUGUGUAGUAACUAUACACAGUAGAGACGGUACCUAACCAGAAAGCCACGGCUAACUACGUG